GAAUUGCUUCCCUAGGAGAGUUUGAGGCUCAGGUUAUCUGGGGUGCUUUUCUACUGUGGUGAAAUGGACUCAGUGUUCCCCAUACAGUAAAACCCUGGUGGUAUGACUUCACUGUGAAGUAGUUUGGAAGUGACUCAAGUUCAGAAGCUAGCAAGGCACCUUGGCAAGCAGCUCCUGUGCCUGGUCUAUGGUGGCAUUGGUGAAGCCCGGGAACUUCUCGGGAUCCACGGAGCUGCUGAAGGCGCAGAUCAGGCACUUGCCAUCCAGGAGGGCGACCACGAUCCAGACGGCUGGGGCGACCGUAGCUCGCUGUAUGAUGGAGGAGCACAUGUACCUGGAGCAGGAGGGAGACGCGGGAGGGGAGCUCUCCUGGCAAAAAACAAGGAAAGACUAAAUAGGUCCCUACAACUCAGGACAACAAGAUAUAAGAAGAGUAGGAAGCAUUCUCUGGGCACUGCAAGCAACAAGGAAAUUUUACUUUUCCAGAAUAGUCUCCUGGCCUGGAUGUCAGAGGUCCAUAAAAGAUGCCUCUGCUGUGAGCUGGGGUCUUGCCAGUAACUCUGAGCUGAGACAUGGGGUCACUGAAUCAUAGGAGGGAAUAUUUCUCCAUUUGUUGCAAAAGGAGCUUCCUGGGGUGAGAGAGAAAGAACCCUGGAGGUAAGUUGCUAAACAUGGACAAAUGUUCAAAAUGAUUUCCAAAACCAAGUACAUCUGAUUAUCCAUCUUGCUCGUU